GAAUGGUGAUGUUUAAUAUUGAGUCAUGCAAAUAAGUUAUAACUUACGUAGAGUACUUACAGUGAGAGGGGUAGGCCAAGCCGUUUACGACUCCUUAAUCCAAAGAGUUGUACAAGGUUGCUCAUGUGGUUGUGCCUGGCCCAGCCCAAUGCACAAAAGUAUUGUUUACUUACUACUUCCAUGGCAUAACUAAUUGUCCCUUAAAAGAUGAAGUUCAUUUCCU
rnacentral:lncRNA from 1 species